rnacentral:tRNA from 1 species
AGCAGCGUGGCUCAGUGGAAAGAGCACGGGCUUUGGAGUCAGAGGUCAUGAGUUCAAAUCUCAGCUCUGCCA